ACGUAAUUCCAAUUCAUGAAUAUUUUGUGUUUCAGAACAGUCUGUCAUAAACAUUCAUUUCAGCAUAAGAUGUUGCCCACUAAGCAAGCAGCCUUCAAAAAUCAAAUCUUGCCGGAAGAUGUGCAUGAUGCAGUGACUGUUGCCCCACAGAAGAAAGAUUCAGUGAGUGAAGUAUGAAAACAUGAACAAAGUGAUUAGAAAAGAAUCGUGGCUGCAGACAGAAUUUCCUGUUUACACUUUUAUCUUAACAGUUUGAACUUAAUAUUUCUUCUGUAUAGUAUUAAAUUGCUUAAGUUUAA